GAUGAACGCUGGCGGCGUGCUUAACACAUGCAAGUCGAAUGUAGCAAUACAUGGCGGACGGGUGAGUAACGCGUGAGCAAUCUGCCCUUAUCUGGGGGAUAACAGUUGGAAACGACUGAUAAUACCGCAUAACAUCGAGAGAAGGCAUCUUCUUUCGAUCAAAGAUUUAUCGGAUAAGGAUGAGCUCGCGUCUGAUUAGCUUGUUGGUGAGGUAACGGCUCACCAAGGCGACGAUCAGUAGCCGACCUGAGAGGGUGAUCGGCCACAUUGGAACUGAGACACGGUCCAA
rnacentral:rRNA from 1 species